rnacentral:rRNA from 1 species
UGCGUAGGCGGAAUGAUAAGUUAGUGGUGAAAGCCCCCGGCUCAACCGGGGAACUGCCAUUAAUACUGUCAUUCUUGAGUAUAGUUGAAGUGGGCGGAAUGUAUCAUGUAGCGGUGAAAUGCUUAGGUAUGAUACAGAACACCAAUAGCGUAGGCAGCUUGCUAAACUAUAACUGACGCUCAGGCACGAAAGCGUGGGGAGCAAACAGGAUUAGAUACCCUGGUAGUCC